CAUUUCUUUUGCUUUUUGGGGUGUUUUAUUCGUGCUUCAUUACGUAUUUCUCUAUUUGACACGGACAUAGCUAAGAUAACUCCCUCUUACAAACAAAACUAGGGUUUCCAAGAUUCCUCCCUAAACUCCAAAUCCCUAGCUGAAAAGCCUUGCAAUAAUGGGGUUUCACUUGGUUCUAGUAGCAAAGCUCAAACUCUUGAGCGCAGGUCAUCACAUGUGCCUAAGCACUCCAAUAAUGGCCAGCUUAGUAGGCCCUUUUUUGAUCAAGUUCAUCUUCACUACUUUCAAACCUCUUCAUCAGGUUUUCAUCAAUGCAGCCUAUGCUUCCAGAUUGUUCAUUUUUCAGAUGGGCCAGAUAACCUUCAGUUCCCAGCCACCAGGAUUCACUAACGGCGCCAACACCAGGUGGCAGCGGGCUCUGCGGUUGGUGAGCGAGAGAUUGAUUCUUGCUCGGCAGUCGCAGACCACAGAUUCUGAAGAGGAGAGUAUCCGUGCUAUCUCAGCUCUAGCCCUCUAAGCUCUCAGACAGGUGUCUUGAAAAAUCUCUUAUUAACUUGUGGAUUUUCCUUCUUUGAGGAUCAACACAAAGAACAAAUUCAUGAGUGCUAUAUGAAACAGGUUUGUAUAACUGGUAUGCAAUUGGUGAAGAGAUGGUUAUGUGUUAGUAUUUAUAAAAAUUGUCAUUCAAACUUGGAAAGUGUCCGAUGUAAAAUAAAUGUGAGCAUGUAUUUAUAAAGUAGCUACUGCAUUGCAUGCAUGGUGCAAUUCACCACUAAGACAGAAUAGGAUGAAACAUAUUCGAUUUAGGGCAUUUAUUUUUCAAAUGAAUCUAUCAUUAUACUCGAGAUUUGGACCGUAAAUUAUACCAUACCCACCUAGUCAACCCUGCAUCUGUUGAGUCUCAUAUGCUAUAGGGUUUGGCAGAUUCAAGGGCAUGCAUGAUAUUAAAUACUCAUCAUUGCAUAUCUGUCUUUGUGAUAUACUCCCUCCCUUUUUGUAUAACUGACGUUUAAGGUUUUUCACACCAAUUAAGAAAAGUUUUUUAUUGCUUAAA